GAUGAAGAACGUAGCGAAAUGCGAUAAGUAGUGUGAAUUGCAGAAUUCAGUGAAUCAUCGAAUCUUUGAACGCACAUUGCGCCCCUUGGUAUUCCAUGGGGCAUGCCUGUUCGAGCGUCAUCUACACCCUCAAGCCCCCGGGUUUGGUGUUGGGGAUCGGCUCUGCCCUUCUGGGCGGUGCCGCCCCCGAAAUACAUUGGCGGUCUCGCUGCAGCCUCCAUUGCGUAGUAGCUAACACCUCGCAACUGGAACGCGGCGCGGCCAUGCCGUAAAACCCCAACUUCUGAAUGUUGACCUCGGAUCAGGUAGGAAUACCCGCUGAACUUAAGCAUAUCAAUAAGCGGAGGA
rnacentral:misc_RNA from 1 species